AAGAGGGGGAGGGGUUUUCUAACGCCAUAAAGAUGGGAAGUGUUUGCUAAGACAAUGAAGGACAAAGGGUGCAAUGCCUGGCACUGAAGAGGGCCGGGUUGGAAUCCCAGCUUUAUUUUGAUGUGUAGGAUGAGUUCAGUGAGCUUUGCUCGCUGCAAAGCAAGGAGAGGGAGUGUGAGAGCCUCGCUGUUGUGAGCUUUGCAGCAAAGCUUCAUUUAGGUACUGGUGUCUGGGUGAAAGUUCAGGAUUUACCACAAAGGAAAAAAAGGAAAAAAUAACCCAAACAUCAUCUUGAAGGCACAUGUUGGAAAACACCUUUCAAGGAGAACAAAGCCUUCCCUGCUGGGCUCUUCAGUGAUCACAAUCUCUGCAAGAACAGCGAGUGAGGGGAGCUCUUUGGAGAGGCAGAACUGCUUGGAUGUGGGGAAGU